rnacentral:rRNA from 1 species
AGAGUUUGAUCAUGGCUCAGAACGAACGCUGGCGGCAGUAACACAUGCAAGUCGAACGAACGUAGCAAUACGUUAGUGGCGCACGGGUGAGUAACGCGUGGAUAUCUGCCUUUUGGUUCGGGAUAACCUUGGGAAACUAGGGCUAAUACCGAAUGGUUCCUACGGGAUAAAGAUUUAUCGCCAAAAGAUGAGUCCGCGUCCGAUUAGCUAGUUGGUGUGGUAAUGGCGCACCAAGGCGACGAUCGGUAGCUGGUCUGAGAGGACGAUCAGCCACACUGGGACUGAGACACGGCCCAGACUCCUACGGGAGGCAGCAGUGGGGAAUAUUGGACAAUGGGGGCAACCCUGAUCCAGCCAUGCCGCGUGAGUGAUGAAGGCCUUCGGGUUGUAAAGCUCUUUUGGCGGGGACGAUGAUGACGGUACCCGCAGAAUAAGCCCCGGCUAACUUCGUGCCAGCAGCCGCGGUAAGACGAAGGGGGCUAGCGUUGUUCGGAAUUACUGGGCGUAAAGCGAGUGUAGGUGGUUGUCGUAGUCAGGCGUGAAAGCCUUGAGCUCAACUCAAGAAAUGCGCUUGAUACUGGGCAGCUAGAGGACCGGAGAGGAUAGUGGAAUUCCCAGUGUAGUGGUGAAAUACGUAGAGAUUGGGAAGAACACCAGUGGCGAAGGCGGCUAUCUGGACGGUUUCUGACACUAAGACUCGAAAGCGUGGGGAGCAAACAGGAUUAGAUACCCUAGUAGUCC